GACGAACGCUGGCGGCGUGCUUAACACAUGCAAGUCGAACGGAAAGGCCCUGCUUUUGUGGGGUGCUCGAGUGGCGAACGGGUGAGUAACACGUGAGUAACCUGCCCUUGACUUUGGGAUAACUUCAGGAAACUGGGGCUAAUACCGGAUAGGAGCUCCUGCUGCAUGGUGGGGGUUGGAAAGUUUCGGCGGUUGGGGAUGGACUCGCGGCUUAUCAGCUUGUUGGUGGGGUAGUGGCUUACCAAGGCUUUGACGGGUAGCCGGCCAGAGAGGGUGACCGGCCACAUUGAGACUGAGAUACGACAGAGACUACUACGGGAGACAGCAGUGGGGAAUAAUGCACAAUGGACGGAAGCCUGAUCCAGCAACGCCGCGUGCGGGAUGACGGCAUUCGGGUUGUAAACCGCUUUCGCCUGUGACGAAGCGUGAGUGGCGGUAAUGGGUAAAGAAGCACCGGCUAACUACGUG
rnacentral:rRNA from 1 species